rnacentral:snRNA from 1 species
GAGCUUUGCUUCGGCAGCGCACAUGCUAAAAUUGGAACCAUACAGAGAGGCUUAGCAUGGUCCCUGCGCGAGGAUAGCACACAAAUUUGUGAAAUGUUCCAUAUUUAA